GUCGAGCGGACAGAUGGGAGCUUGCUCCCUGAUGUUAGCGGCGGACGGGUGAGUAACACGUGGGUAACCUGCCUGUAAGACUGGGAUAACUCCGGGAAACCGGGGCUAAUACCGGAUGCUUGUUUGAACCGCAUGGUUCAGACAUAAAAGGUGGCUUCGGCUACCACUUACAGAUGGACCCGCGGCGCAUUAGCUAGUUGGUGAGGUAACGGCUCACCAAGGCGACGAUGCGUAGCCGACCUGAGAGGGUGAUCGGCCACACUGGGACUGAGACACGGCCCAGACUCCUACGGGAGGCAGCAGUAGGGAAUCUUCCGCAAUGGACGAAAGUCUGACGGAGCAACGCCGCGUGAGUGAUGAAGGUUUUCGGAUCGUAAAGCUCUGUUGUUAGGGAAGAACAAGUGCCGUUCAAAUAGGGCGGCACCUUGACGGUACCUAACCAGAAAGCCACGGCUAACUACGUGCCAGCAGCCGCGGUAAUACGUAGGUGGCAAGCGUUGUCCGGAAUUAUUGGGCGUAAAGGGCUCGCAGGCGGUUUCUUAAGUCUGAUGUGAAAGCCCCCGGCUCAACCGGGGAGGGUCAUUGGAAACUGGAGAACUUGAGUGCAGAAGAGGAGAGUGAAAUUCCACGUGUAGCGGUGAAAUGCGUAGAGAUGUGGA
rnacentral:rRNA from 1 species